AAUGAAGUGCCUGAUAAAAGGAUAAUUUUGAUAGAAUUAAUAAUGUGAUAUUCCCCCCACCUUCAUUA